AUGAAUGCUACUUUUGGAUGGAUCAAUGUGAAGGAUGUUGCAAACGUGGAUAUUUUGGAAAAUGACUAUGCUUCGGCUAAUAUAAGAUAUUGUUUGGUUGGAAGAGUGAUACAUUUCUCUGAACUGAAAUCGGCUGGAAACAAAUAUGUGAAUGCUCCUUUUUAUCUUAAUGUCUAUGAUUUGAUCGAUGUUUGUGACUUAUUAAUUACGAUUAGUUUGGAUCUUCACAGUGGAAUUAUUUGA